GUCGGGGGCCGUGCGUGAAGACACCUAGGUGUCAUGGGGUCGCGGGAAAACCGGGGCACUCCGAGGCCAGGGCUUUCCCUCCUUCGGGCGCCGCAGCUGGCCGCCAGACAAGCGCCGCCGAGUGGCGGCGGGGCGCCUGCGCACUUCGGGGCUCCUCGCCGGCCCUGGGUGGGGAGGGCUCGCUGCAGAAUGGCCCUGUAGGAAGGGCAGCCAAGGGUGGGGCGGCAGCAUCGGGGCUGGGGCGUCUGGUGGCGCGUAGCUGCUGGGGUAGGUGGCUCUUGACCUCUUUAGGCUGAGGAAGGCAGGUCGUGCCGCCUAGGCAGCCGUCCGCCCUACAGAGCUCUGCAAAGCCCUGCAAAGUCGCGGCCUGAGAGGCCUGUCGGACGGGCUGGACGCGCUCACACCACUGGGGCAGUGAGCACUGGCCACAGGGUGAAAAUGAAUUACCCUGGAGCAGUUAAGAAUUCGGAAAGCCUGGUCGUCCUCCCCGGGAACAGAGCCAAGAUUUCUAGAACGCGGGCCCUGAGGGAAAGUAUUUUCUGAGAGUUCACCCGGCAUUUCACAUGUAGCCGGCAUUGAGAAUUGCUUUCACAUUCAGUAGCGUAGCUGCCAAUGCCUGUUGACGUUUGCUCUAAGAUUUGAAGUCAGGUGGGUAAGUUCCCGUACAUAGUAGGUCGUACGUUUAAGUGCUUGAUUAACCGCCUUCUGCCAGGAGCGUUCAGUCCUACAACAGCUGUAUUGUAAAGAAUGGAGAACUUACCGUGUAGAAGCUGUGUUACAAGAAUUUUUUUUUAAAAUUAUCCCGUGAAAGUGUUAUUCAGGAUAUGAAACAUUAUGGACAACAUAAAAGAACAUUUAUUAAUGAAUUCUAAUACUAUUCAAAUUCGUGUCUACAUUAUAGGUGUGCAAUUCAACAUCUCUUACAACUGAGAUUUUGUCGUCUUCCAGGCAUUGAGGAAUCUUGGAAAAAAACAGGCCUAAGAGGAGCAUGAUGGUGAUUUCAUAUAUUAGCUAAAGAAAGCCCUUCCCAUCACAGUGAACUAACAGUACCAAUGGGACAGAGUAGGAACUACAAGUUGAUAGGAUGGGUUCAGGAAGAAGUUGCUCAAGCUUAUAUUCAGGAGAUGUUUGCCUGUGUUGUCUUCUAAGAGGAAAACCAGGUCUUUUAUUUAGCAGUUGUGAAGCAAAGCAACCAUGUUGCACUUCUCAGCUUAUUUUGAUGGAGCAAGCUGCAGUGUGGCAUAUUGCUCCAUGCAGAGACCAACAUGCCAAGGAACUGAAGGCAACUUCUGGCCAAUAGAUGAGAAGAAGCCAAGACCCUCAGUCCAACAGCUUGUGAGGGACUAAAAUCCUAGCAGCAACCAGAGCAUGAAUUUAGAAGCAGACUUCUCUAGUUAAUCCUUGUGAUGAUUGCGUCUCCAGUGAACACUCUGCAGCCUUGUAACAGAGCCUGAGCCAGAGGACCCUGGUAAGCUGUAUCCAGAUUCCAUAGAAUUAUGAAAUCAUAAAUAUUUUUUAAAGCCACUAAGUUUUGGAGUAAUUUGUUAUGCAGCAAUAGAUAACUAAUACUAUGAUAUUGCAGUUGACCCUUGAGCAACAGAGAAGUUAAGGGAUGCUGACCCCUACACAAUAAAAUAUCCAUGUAUAGCUUGAUUCCCCCAAAAUUUUACUAGUAGCCUACUGUUUCCUGGAAGCCUUACAAAUAAUACAAAUGGUUGAUUAACACAUAUUUUAUAUGUUAUAUGUAUUAUACACUAUUCUUAUAAUAAAGUAAGCUGGAGAAAUGUUUUUUCAAAUUGUCACAAAUCUCAAGAAACAUUUUACAAUAUAUUUAUUGAAAAAAAUCCAUGUAUAAGUAGAUCCAUGCAGUUCAAACCCAUGUUGUUCAAGGGUCCACUGCAAUGCUAUUUUAAUGCAGAUAAGGGGAAAAAAAUUAGAAUAAUAAGGCAAUGUUAUAGCUUCCCCAGUUACUAGUGAAAACUCUUAUCUACUACAAAUAACAAUAAUAUUAAUUUUGAAUAUUAGUAGUGACUUAUGUUUAUUGAUCACUUACUAGGU